CAGCCGUAAACUAUGCGCGUUAGGUGUAUCGGUGACCACGAGUUACCGAGGUGCCGAAGGGAAACCGUGAAACGUGCCGCCUGGGAAGUACGGUCGCAAGGCUGAAACUUAAAGGAUUGGCGGGGGAGCACCACAACAGGUGGAGCCUGCGGUUUAAUUGGACUCAACGCCGGGAAGCUCACCGGAUAAGACAGCGGAAUGAUUGCCGGGCUGAAGACUCUGCAUGACUAGCUGAGAGGAGGUGCAUGGCGUAGACGUCU
rnacentral:rRNA from 1 species